rnacentral:rRNA from 1 species
GACGAACGCUGGCGGCGUGCUUAACACAUGCAAGUCGAACGGAAAGGCCUGCUUUCCCUUGUGGAUUGCGGGUACUCGAGUGGCGAACGGGUGAGUAACACGUGAGUGAUCUGCCCCCAACUUGGGUAUAAGCCUGGGAAACUGGGUCUAAUUCCCGAUAGGACUGCAGGGUGGUGCCUGUGGUGGAAAACGAUUUUCUAGUGGUUGGGGAUGAGCUCGCGGCCUAUCAGCUUGUUGGUGGGGUAAUGGCCUACCAAGGCGGCGACGGGUAGCCGGCCUGGGAGGGUGGACGGCCACAUUGGGACUGAGAUACGGCCCAGACUACUACGGGAGGCAGCAGUGGGGAAGAUUGCACAAUGGGCGGAAGACUGAUGCAGCGACGCCGCGUGGGGGAUGACGGCCUUCGGGUUGUAAACUCCUUUCGACCGCGAGGAAGCCACCUGGUUGGAAGGGUGGUGACGGUAGUGGUAGAAGAAGCACCGGCUAACUACGUG